GAGCCAAUGAAAGCACGGGCUCCUCUUUUGUCUUUGUCUUUCGGCUUCUCCUUGCUGAUCCUACCAGUAAUGGGCAAAGUGCUGUCUCUGGGAAAGAGACCUUUAAUCGUCACCUGAACAUGGCUGAUAGCAAUGGUCUUUUUAUCUAAUGAAUUUAAUAUCCAAGCAUCAUCAAUCUGAUUGAUUUCACCAACAAACUCUGAGGAAACAGCAUCUAUUAUAUCUAGGAAAUCCUGUAUUUCCCUUUCCUUGACAUCCAACAUUUCCUGAAUCUCCAUGCUUUGGAACUGGCUUCGGGUUUCACUCUGCAAUAACAAAGAUGGUAAAGUUACAGCUUCAAGAUGAUGACAUAUCCAGAGGAUAAGAAUGGCUGUUUUUACACAUAAGGCCUCUCUGUAUUUUAUUAAUAGUGGUAGUUUAUUAUUAUGUAUUAUUAUUAUCUGUAAUUUAAUCUGUCAAUAAUGCAAAUACAAAAACUACAUUGGCUAGAAUGUA